ACGUAAGUAUCCACGUUUUUUAAGCUCUCGGGAUUGAAAUCUAAAAAACUUGUGAAAAAAAGAAUUGUGAAAAAAAGAAAUCAGCAUAUUGUAAUACAAGUUAAAAAAUACAAAGAAAAAAACAGAAAAAAGAUUAAAAAAUAAGCUAGCUUGAAAGUGUUUAUGUUGCCUAAGCUCAAAAUUUUCUUUUACCAAACGUUUUCAGCCACACUUCAAUUAACUUUGUUUUCUUUCAAGCCUACCCUAUUACUCAACAUUAAC
rnacentral:lncRNA from 1 species